CUCCAAACGGCUGUGUCUGGAGCGGAAGCUCUCUGCGCUUCUCAAUGGGAGAGUGCAUCCCCCGGUGCGCAGAUGCCAAUAGAUGAAGUUGGAGUAAACGCGGGGCAGCCUGACAUGAGGAACAACACAAGCCUAAGUAGACAUUACAAUAAACACCAUAGUAUCCCUACUACUUCACUGGAUGAAUGAAUUAAUAAACAGUUGUUUUCCUUGACUACUUUGUAAAUUUUCAGAGAGAAGAAACUUUCUCUAAUUCAUCAUUUGACCUGAAAAUUCUGAUCUCGGAUAUCUAUAAAAAAUAUUUAACAUACGAAGUGUUACAAAGUUCUCACAAAUGCCUUAUGAGAUAGUUACUAUGAUUAGCACCCACUUUAUAAUAAUAAAAUUGAAGAAAAAGAAGGAAUUAAAGAUGACAAACCCCCACACCAGGACCUAGCAAAAUACCGGACACAUAAGAAAGACCCUCAUUUUACUCUUUCAGGCUACUUGACAUACUUACCACAAGAUCCAGAUGAGGGAGGACCUCAGAGACUGCAGAAUCUGUAGAGUACAGAUUCUCUACAGAUGCAAAUCUCCCCCGACUUAAAACAGCUUUGCAAGGCA